rnacentral:lncRNA from 1 species
CCAAGGACAAGGGAGGAUAACAUAUGGAUAAGAAGCUAUAAACCAAAAGGAAUAGAAGAGCAAUGGGGAACAAGUGUAACACAUUCAAACAUACCCAACACCUCUAAUUCAAUCCUCUACUUGACUCCAUUAUUCAAACAAUUUUUUAUUUUUCUCAUUUUUUUUUGUGUAUUUUUUUCUUCUUUUUUUCUUCAUCUUCUCUCUUUUCUUUUCUCUAUUUUCAUAACACAACUCCAAGAGACAAGACACACAUAUAUUUACAAAAAUAAAACAAGAAGAGGAACCAACUAGCCAAUUUAUUUGAAUCCCCAAGGAGACCACACUUAUUCCCAAAAUAAUUCCAAAG